GGUUAAGUGACUAAGCGUACACGGUGGAUGCCUUGGCAGUCAGAGGCGAUGAAAGACGUAAUAACUUGCGAUAAGCCCAGAUUAGGUAGUAAUAACCAUUUGAGUCUGGGAUUUCUGAAUGGGGAAACCCACGUACAUAAGUACGUAUCAUUAACUGAAUACAUAGGUUAAUGAGGCAAACCCGGGGAACUGAAACAUCUAAGUACCCGGAGGAAGAGAAAUCAACCGAGAUUCCGAAAGUAGCGGCGAGCGAAAUUGGAUUAGCCCUUAAGCUUUUAAUGACACAGACGAAGGCUCUGGAAAGUGCCGCAAUAAAGGGUGAUAGCCCCGUAGUCGACAUGUUGUUUU
rfam:Vibrio ezurae NBRC 102218 DNA, contig: VEZ01S65.